CUGGAUGCAGAAUGUAUAUAAUGUAUGUUUUAAAAACUCUUCUUCGCAGUAAGUAUUUAACGAAUUAAAUUUAAGAUAGAAUUUAAUUUAAUGAUCUGUAUUACAUACAUUUCAGAAAGUCAGGAUAUUGUUUAUACAAUAUGUUUUAAACCGUUUAAUAAUGCAAAAUGUUUUAAUGAAUAUAAUAAAUAAAUAUUAAUUUUAAUCCCUACUGUUGUCGGGAUCAGAAUACAACUAUUAGGAAUUGUACAUCUAAUUGUCGUGUAAGUGAACAAAUGGGUACGUAUUAGGAAAGGAAAGUAGCCAGAAAAUGUCUGUUCUGGGUGAGCAAAAAUUUGAGUCCUAGUAUUAUUUUAAAUCAUUUGUUUCUAAAAUAAAUUUGGAAGUUUACCUCACACUAGGGGAAGUGUGUUGUAUUCUAUAACAAGAAUCUUGCUAAUUCAACAUUUAUCUUUAGUUGGUUAAAAACAAAUCCACUUUAUAGUUUAAAUGCCUACAGAAGUAUCAUGGUUUCAUGUAAAUGAAUUACAAUGACAGAAUUUACGAUUUGCAUUAAAGAAUUAAGACAUUAAAUAAUUUUUUCAGACCUAAAGAAACCAUCGAUAUAUUUUAAACUUCCUUCAUAGGUAUGUAGAUUAGAAAUGUAUUUUCAACACUAAAAAUUAAUUAUUAUAUAUUAAUUUGAUAUUUGUAAACUACCUUUGUUUAUACCCGGGACUGAGACUGAAUUUUACAAAUAUUAAAAAAUUAACUUCCAAACCGUAACCGAUAACUUUACAAAACCGAUUAAGCUCGUUUUAUUAACCUCAGCCAAAUCCUUCAUUUUUCUAUGAACGGUUUAAAGUGGUACCAUAAAAUAUACGACGCACCUUAGUGAAACGGCUUUUUAUGGAAAUUAAGUACUUGUAAUUUGUCUAAAUAUUACCUGUUUUAAGCACUAUGCUCCAAUGUAAAGUGCCAUAUGGGACUAUAAAUAGUACGAAUUUCUAUCAAAACUAACCGUCCAGACAUAUCAACAGAUAAAAGUGUGACCGGAGAUGAAGUCAUUCAGAGUAAAUUAUAGUUUAAAGAUUUAACGAAAAACAUUCUGUGAGCAUAAUUUAGUAUAAACAAAAUUGAAACGUUGUAAAAAUAAAUACGGCAGAAUAACAUCAUCAUCCGGGUCGAAUGCCUAAUGAUAGUGGAUAUCUUGUUGAUAUGAUUGAAUAUUUAGCCAUAUCAAAAAAUUUCAGUUUUACAAAACUAAUCAAAUGUAAAAAUUUUGUUUCAGCGUUCGCUGUUAAUAUUUACUAUAGGUAAUAUAUUAAUAUAUGUAGUUUUUAUAAUAAUAAAUGUCACUAAUAAAACAAUAAACAAGGAAGAUCAACGAAUCAAGAAACAAAACGAAUGUAUCGAUCUACCCAAUUUAUUUUUUUGAUAUAUUUGAAAAUGUAUUUUAGAAAAUAAUUUUACUAUCGAAAAUAUACUAAUGUAACUGAAUUUUAUUUUUAUUUAGGAUCAGAUAUUAAACAUGGAUUAAGCUUACCGUUUAGUAGUAUGCAUAUUGCAGAACUCAUAAAGACAUAAGCAAAAGUUUUCUUUCAAACGACUAUACCACAUAACAAAAAAAAUUGAUAAUAAAUCUACAGCCAUAAUGUAAUAAUAUUAUGGUCAUAAUUAUUAUUUGUUCAUUUAAAAACUUUAUAAUUAUUAUACAAUUGGGUUACAUGUAACAUUCAAUAAACGCAUUAAUUAUAAUUGUUAUUAAUAUUGUUUUAAUUAUUGGUACUUAACUUAUUAUACUAUUGUAUUUAUUUUAAAAUAUUUAUUCAAAUUUAAAUGGAUAAACAAGUGCAUGAUGUUAUAUCGUAGCACCGUGUCUCAAAAUAAUAUGAUUAAUUAAUUUUUCAUAA
rnacentral:lncRNA from 1 species